rnacentral:rRNA from 1 species
GAUUAACGCUGGCGGAGUGCCUAACACAUGCAAGUCGAGCGCCGUAGCAAUACGGAGCGGCAGACGGGAGAGUAACACGUGGGAACGUACCCUUUGGUUCGGAACAACCCAGGGAAACUUGGGCUAAUACCGGAUAAGCCCUCACGGGGAAAGAUUCAUCGCCGAAGGAUCGGCCCGCGUCUGAUUAGCCAGUUGGAGGGGUAAUGGCCCACCAAGGCGACGAUCAGUAGCUGGUCUGAGAGGAUGAUCAGCCUCACUGGGACUGAGACACGGCCCAGACUCCUACGGGAGGCAGCAGUGGGGAAUAUUGGACAAUGGGCGCAAGCCUGAUCCAGCCAUGCCGCGUGGGUGAUGAAGGCCCUAGGGUUGUAAAGCCCUUUCGGCGGGGAAGAUAAUGACGGUACCCGCAGAAGAAGCCCCGGCUAACUUCGUGCCAGCCGCCGCGGUAACAC